GGGUUCGGUCGGUAAAGCAUGAUACUCUGAAUCUUAGGGUUGUGGGUUCGAGUCCCAUGUUAGAUA